UACGAAGGGGGCUAGCGUUGUUCGGAUUUACUGGGCGUAAAGCGCACGUAGGCGGAUCGAUCAGUCAGGGGUGAAAUCCCAGGGCUCAACCCUGGAACUGCCUUUGAUACUGUCGAUCUGGAGUAUGGAAGAGGUGAGUGGAAUUCCGAGUGUAGAGGUGAAAUUCGUAGAUAUUCGGAGGAACACCAGUGGCGAAGGCGGCUCACUGGUCCAUUACUGACGCUGAGGUGCGAAAGCGUGGGGAGCAAACAGGG
rnacentral:rRNA from 1 species